CACGUAGGGUGCGAGCGUUGUCCGGAAUUAUUGGGCGUAAAGAGCUCGUAGGCGUGUGUCGCGUCGGCCGUGAAAACCUGCAGCUUAACUGUGGGCGUGCGGUCGAUACGGGCAUCACUGAGUUCGGCAGGGGAGACUGGAAUUCCUGGUGUAGCGGUGAAAUGCGCAGAUAUCAGGAGGAACACCGGUGGCGAAGGCGGGUCUCUGGGCCGAUACUGACGCUGAGGAGCGAAAGCGUGGGGGGGAGCGAACAGG
rnacentral:rRNA from 1 species